GUCUAUGGCCUUACCACGCUGAACCGUAACCAAUCUCAUCUGGUCUCGGAAGCUAAGAAGGGUGGGGCCUGGUUAGUUCGUGGAUGGGAGAAAUCCAAGGCCAGCCUCAGCGA
rnacentral:rRNA from 1 species